UAAACCUGCCUCUUAGCGGGGGAUAACUAUUGGAAACGAUAGCUAAUACCGCAUAAAAGUCGAUAUCGCAUGAUAUUGAUUUGAAAGGUGCAAAUGCAUCACUAAGAGAUGGACCUGCGUUGUAUUAGCUAGUUGGUGAGGUAACGGCUCACCAAGGCGACGAUACAUAGCCGACCUGAGAGGGUGAUCGGCCACACUGGGACUGAGACACGGCCCAG
rnacentral:rRNA from 1 species